GAUUGCUAUAUUUGCUUUCUUUGGGAAAAGGGAUAUCCUAUGGCGAGGAAUGCUCAUACAGUGAACAAUGUAAUUUUUAUGGAGGAGUUUGUACGAGAAAACAUAAAUGUUCAUGUAGUUUUGGUCAUGUAUACGACGCCAAAGGAAAGACUUGUCAUCAAGUUGGAAAGGUAGUUGGGGCUACAGUAGGAGCUGGCAUUUCCGGUCUUAUUAUCGGCGUUUUGGUAGGAUCUGUCACAAUGUUUCUUACUCUGAAGAAAUUUGGACAAGAUAACAGAAACAAUAACUUAAUACUUCAACCUGUGGCUGAUACAUCUUUUAUCGGCGUCCAUUAAU